GCCCACCCAGCCAAUAGCAGCGCGCCCCGCCCCGAAUCAACCAAUUCCCGCGCCGCACCUUGCCGAUCUAACCAAUCACCGUGCUUCUCCCCUCAGCAACACCCGCCUUCCUCUCGCCGCUGCAGCCAAUCAGAGGCGAACCGGAGGCGGCGCCCCCUCUUCUGGCGGCCCCGGGGCUCCCCGGGCUCGGGCGGGUCCUGCGGGAAGCGCUGGGAGAGGCCGGAGCUGCGGGAGCUGCUGAGGGGCCGGGACAGGUGUAUGUUAAGAAGCUAAUUUACAAGUGAGAAGAUACAGCUAGCCAGACGCCAGACGAUGGGCCAUGGCGCUGAUCAUCGCGUGAACGACCCGAGAUGGAUAUCUCUAAAAUCCCCAGACAGAUCCAUGUGGAUUCAACAAACUCCAGACACUGAAUUAUUAACAUAUAGACUCUGAAUAGAA